rnacentral:rRNA from 1 species
AGUGGACGCUGGCGGUAGGCCUAACACAUGCAAGUCGAACGGCAGCACAGUAAGAGCUUGCUCUUACGGGUGGCGAGUGGCGGACGGGUGAGGAAUACAUCGGAAUCUACUUUUUCGUGGGGGAUAACGUAGGGAAACUUACGCUAAUACCGCAUACGACCUACGGGUGAAAGCAGGGGAUCUUCGGACCUUGCGCGAUUGAAUGAGCCGAUGUCGGAUUAGCUAGUUGGCGGGGUAAAGGCCCACCAAGGCGACGAUCCGUAGCUGGUCUGAGAGGAUGAUCAGCCACACCGGAACUGAGACACGGUCCAGACUCCUACGGGAGGCAGCAGUGGGGAAUAUUGGACAAUGGGCGCAAGCCUGAUCCAGCCAUACCGCGUGGGUGAAGAAGGCCUUCGGGUUGUAAAGCCCUUUUGUUGGGAAAGAAAAGCAGCAGGUUAAUACCCCGCUGUUCUGACGGUACCCAAAGAAUAAGCACCGGCUAACUUCGUG